rnacentral:rRNA from 1 species
GACGAACGCUGGCGGCGUGCUUAACACAUGCAAGUCGAACGGAAAGGCCCUGCUUUUGUGGGGUGCUCGAGUGGCGAACGGGUGAGUAACACGUGAGUAACCUGCCCUUGACUUUGGGAUAACUUCAGGAAACUGGGGCUAAUACCGGAUAGGAGCUCCUGCUGCAUGGUGGGGGUUGGAAAGUUUCGGCGGUUGGGGAUGGACUCGCGGCUUAUCAGCUUGUUGGUGGGGUAGUGGCUUACCAAGGCUUUGACGGGUAGCCGGCCUGAGAGGGUGACCGGCAACAUUGGGACUGAGAUACGGCCCGGACUCCUACGGGAGGCAGCAGUGGGGAAUAUUGCACAAUGGGCGGAAGCCUGAUGCAGCAACGCCGCGUGCGGGAUGACGGCCUUCGGGUUGUAACCCGCUUUCGCCUGUGACGAAGCGUGAGUGACGGUAAUGGGUAAAGAAGCACCGGCUAACUACGUG